rnacentral:rRNA from 1 species
ACAUGCAUAUAGCAUAGGGUUAAUGCACCAUAUCCCAUUAGAACUAUGAAAUUAAGCACACUCAGGCUAGAGUACUACUAGGAUGGGUGAAUGCUUGAGAUGUCCUAGUGUUUUACAUGCC